rnacentral:rRNA from 1 species
AGCUAAUACUUGCUUUAGCACUCUUGAUUAAGUUCUUGAGUGUGUACUUGUUAAGCCUUUUAAGAAAAAAGUUAUUAACUUAAGGAAUUAUAACAAAGAAGCAACACGUAAAUGGAUUUUCCAUUUUUUAGUGUGUAUCAAUCGAGUUUCUGACCUAUCAGCUUUUGAUGUUAGGGUAUUGGCCUAACAUGGCUAUGACGGGUAACGGGGAAUUAGAGUUCGAUUCCGGAGAGGGAGCCUGAGAAAUAGCUACCACAUCUAAGGAAGGCAGCAGGCGCGUAAAUUACCCAAUUCUAAAGAAGAGAGGUAGUGACAAGAAAUAACAAUACAAGGCCAAUCUGGCUUUGUAAUUGGAAUGAUGGGAAUUUAAAACCUUCCCAAAACUCAAUUGGAGGGCAAGUCUGGUGCCAGCAGCCGCGGUAAUUCCAGCUCCAAUAGCGUAUAUUAAAAUUGUUGCAGUUAAAACGCUCGUAGUUGAAUUUCAAAGAAUCGAUAUUUUAAGUAGCACUUUGUAGAUUAAUCCACAUAACUGAUACUACGUAUCGACUUUGUGCGCAUUUUUCUACUUAUGUGUUCUUUUAAUUAAAAUGAUUCUUUUUAAGAUCUUUCUUUUUUGCUUCGGCAUUUUAGGAGAUCUUGUUACUUUGAGUAAAUUAGAGUGUUCAAAGCAAACAGAUUAUAGCAUUUUAUGCGUUUGAAUACUACAGCAUGGAAUAACAAAAUUGAACAAGUCAGAAUUUUGUUCUUUUUUCUUAUUUUGGCUUAGUUACGAUUAAUAGGAGUAGCUUGGGGGCAUUUGUAUUCAGAUGUCAGAGGUGAAAUUCUUAGAUUUUCUGGAGACAAACAACUGCGAAAGCAUUUGCCUAAAAUACUUCCAUUAAUCAAGAACGAAAGUUAAGGGAGUGAAGACGAUCAGAUACCGUCGUAAUCUUAACCAUAAACUAUGCCGACUAGGCUUUGGAUGAAAGAUUUUAAAAUAAGAGUUUUUUCUCU